GAUGAACGCUGGCGGCGUGCUUAACACAUGCAAGUCGAACGAUUAAAGCCCCUUCGGGGGUGUAUAGAGUGGCGAACGGGUGAGUAACACGUGGGCAACCUGCCCCUCACACUGGGAUAACUCAGGGAAACUUGAGCUAAUACCGGAUACUCCGGACUGAUCGCAUGGUCGGUCCGGGAAAGCUCCGGCGGUGAGGUAUGGGCCCGCGGUCCAUUAGCUUGUUGGUGGGGUAACGGCUCACCAAGGCUGCGAUGGAUAGCCGGGCUGAGAGGCUGAUGGGCGACACUGGGACUGGGACACGGCCCAGACUCCUACGGGAGGCAGCAGUGGGGAAUUUUGCGCAAUGGGCGCAAGCCUGAUCCAGCCAUGCCGCGUGCGGGAAGAAGGCCUUCGGGUUGUAAACCGCUUUUGUCAGGGAAGAAACGCUCUGGGUUAAUACCUCGGGGUAAUGACGGUACCUGAAGAAUAAGCACCGGCUAACUACGUGCCAGCAGCCGCCGUAAAAC
rnacentral:rRNA from 1 species